CUUGGCUGUGAUGACACACUUGCCCUCACUGAGAUCAGACUUGAUUGAGACACACAAUGUACUCUACUGAGCCACG
ensembl:snoRNA